rnacentral:lncRNA from 1 species
GGUUGAACUUUACGAGCGACUCUCAUGGCCCAAGGCCAACUCCAACCCAAUGAAGCACUAAUCAUCUCACAAGGGGAUGGAAGGGAAUGAGAGGGAAAGAGAUCAAAGACAUGUCAAAGAAAGAAAGAUGGGACUUCAAAAGCCAACCACGGCUAGAGCUACAAACCAACAUGCAAGAGUGAUUAGGGCCCCAUUUGGCAGAGCAUUUGGAGGGCCAAAAGGCACCUUCUGACCCUCCAAAAAUACUUUUGGAUGGUAUAGUAGUAUUUGAUGAAAAAUCAAGAUGUUUUAGCUCUGCUAGAAAGUUGAAACAGUCUACUUGGAAAAAGCUCAAUUUUGGAGCUUCUUACCAAAAGUGCUUUCUGGCCAAUAUUGGAAAGUUGUUUUGAUUUUUAUGACUUUUUUUAUGACCAAAAAUGCUCACCAAUAAAUCUCAUAAUUACAUCUUAUAUUAUAUUAUAUCAUAUCAUGUUAU